CUUGUCGGGGCUCAUCCAAAGGGCGUCAAAGGAAGACAAGCAAGAUGACACCCGGGUGAACGUGGGGCAGUUCACCAAAGAUCAGGCACUGAGGGGCGUAGCAGGAGCGAGACAGACAUGGUCCCUAGCCCCCGGGAGCCUGCAGUCUGCAGGGAAACGCAAACGUUCAUCAAACGAUGGGUUGAUCACAAUGAAGAAAGUUCAUGGGGCUGUGUGAGUUUGUGUGACCUCAGCUAGCCUGAAGGGACCCAGAAAGCUUCCCUGAGAAAGUAUCAUCUCAGCUGAGACUUGAAGAGGAAUGGGUAACAAGGACCUGGCAGGUAACGUAAGGCGGAAGGGGGCCCUGGCUCGUUACUGGGGGCAAGCAGAGUCCCAACCAGAGGGGCGACUCCGGCUCAGCCCAGGGCUGCCAUCCGAGAUUGAGGCCCCGGCCCCCCAAAGGAACCAGGGUCCAUGUCACCAAAUUCUGGCUUUUCUAAAGGAACCAGAAAUCUGGAUUUUUAUGUGAGGCCUCUUAUUUUUUAAAUGUUGACAAGGAAAUAAUUUUUUAAAACCCACCUGCCAAAAGAACAUUUAAGAUCUGUUCUUUUGUGUGUUAAUCAUCCCUCAAAAUUUUAAAAAUCUGUAUGCCAAA